AAGACUGUACUUUCAGGGAUCAUUUCUAUAGUUUGUAACUAGAGAAGUAUGGUUGAAAGUGUCUGACCUUGCUAACCACGAUGAGGAGUUAAAGUGUUCUCUUCUGAGCAUGAAGUGAGUGGAUAGUGGUGCUUUAAUGCAUCUGCUAUCUGCUAUUGAUGAGUGUUCUUGUGUUCCUUUUGGGAAAUUGAGAGGAAAAAAAACACAGACUGAGUGGU